UACGGAGGGGGCUAGCGUUGUUCGGAAUUACUGGGCGUAAAGCGUACGUAGGCGGCUUUGUAAGUCAGAGGUGAAAGCCCGGAGCUCAACUCCGGAAUUGCCUUUGAGACUGCAUCGCUUGAAUCCAGGAGAGGUGAGUGGAAUUCCGAGUGUAGAGGUGAAAUUCGUAGAUAUUCGGAAGAACACCAGUGGCGAAGGCGGCUCACUGGACUGGUAUUGACGCUGAGGUGCGAAAGCGUGGGGAGCAAACAGG
rnacentral:rRNA from 1 species